rnacentral:rRNA from 1 species
ACGAACGCUGGCGGCGUGCUUAACACAUGCAAGUCGAGCGGUAAGGCCCCUUCGGGGGUACACGAGCGGCGAACGGGUGAGUAACACGUGAGCAACCUACCCUUCACUUCGGGAUAAGCCUCGGAAACGGGGUCUAAUACCGGAUAUCACUAUCUGCUUCAUGGCGGGUGGUUGAAAGUUCUGGCGGUGGGGGAUGGGCUCGCGGCCUAUCAGCUUGUUGGUGGGGUAAUGGCCUACCAAGGCGUCGACGGGUAGCCG